rnacentral:rRNA from 1 species
GACGAACGCUGGCGGCGUGCUUAACACAUGCAAGUCGAACGGAAAGGCCCUGCUUUUGUGGGGUGCUCGAGUGGCGAACGGGUGAGUAACACGUGAGUAACCUGCCCUUGACUUUGGCAUAACUUCAGGAAACUGGGGCUAAUACCGGAUAGGAGCUCCUGCUGCAUGGUGGGGGUUGGAAAGUUUCGGCGGUUGGGGAUGGACUCGCGGCUUAUCAGCUUGUUGGUGGGGUAGUGGCUUACCAAGGCUUUGACGGGUAGCCGGCCUGAGAGGGUGACCGGCCACAUUGGGACUGAGAUACGGCCCAGACUCCUACGGGAGGCAGAAGUGGGGAAUAUUGCACAAUGGGCGGAAGCCUGAUGCAGCAACGCCGCGUGCGGGAUGACGGCCUUCGGGUUGUAAACCGCUUUCGCCUGUGACGAAGCGUGAGUGACGGUAAUGGGUAAAGAAGCACCGGCUAACUACGUG